AAUUUUAUAACGUAUAAUGUUUAUCAUAAUAUAAUUUUAUAAUGUAUAUUGUUUAUCAUAGCAUAAUUUUAUAAUUUAUAAUGUUUAUCAUAGUAUAAUUUUACAAUUUAUAAUGCUUACCACAGUAUGAUCAUUGUAUCAGCAGAAAUCGCACAAAAUCUUGAAAAUCUUUCUAACCGAACAAUACUGGUAGAGGUGCAUGUUCGCUUCUAGCCACGGUUAUAUUUAUAAAUCUCAAUGCGAAGAACAGGGAGCUGCAGUUGUUUACGCGUCUUGUUUGAAAAUCGCUUCGGUCAACAGAGAUACAGCUGAUUUCCUAAUAUUCCCUUAAAAAGACGCACAAAUGCAUUUCGGUAUAGUAAUCUCUGAAUUAAAAUAUAAAAUUUCAUAAUUUCUUAGAAGUUCUUGGUAUUACUUAUUUCAUUAAUUGGGAUUAAUUGGAAGUAUUAUUUAUUCCAGUAAUUAGAAGUAUUAUUUAUUUCAUUAAUUGGAAUUAAUUACUGAGCGACGUUAACUUGUAAAGAAAAAGUUGUUCAUAAUCAAGCCCCCCAUAACAUACUCCAAGAUCAUCAUUUAUUUCAUAUAAAUAUUUCACAUAUUGAUAUCAAAUCAAUAAAUGAUGACAGUCAUCAUCAAUCAUCAUCGACAAAAAAUAUCAUUUAUAAUGUUAAUUUACAUAUAAUUCUCUUUUUUAAAAAUUUUCUAAAAAAACCCAGGUUAGGGACACACGAACUUUGGUUAACAAUUUGUCUCGCGAAUUUCCAUUUCGCAGCGCGAAACGCCGGGAAUUAAUGGAUUGCUAGAAAUAACUCAAACUGCCGCCGGUUCUCGGUCUGCAGCGCGCCGUUAAGCACGGUUAACGAGAAAAAUUUGUGCGAUGAAGCGGGCGACGAGGGCCGCGUGGGUGAGAACGCCGAUGCGUCUUUUGUCUUCGUUCGCCCAGUCGUUCGAGGGACCAGCGGUGAUUUUUCGUUCAAACGGAGACCCGCUGAUUGACCCUUUGUGCUCGGAUGUUCUUUGUUAUUAGAAGUAUUCGACGUUUUCCAGUAAGGUGAAAAUGUUUAAAAAUUAAUUCAAGUGGCAGUUCACUAUUUUCAAGACAUCAGACUGUCAUACCCAGAUAUGAAGUCAACAAUGUAUAGUUGAAACAAAUUAAUGAAAAAAUAUAGCAGGUCCAAUCGUCAACCUGUUGCAUGUCAAACUGUUGACUCAGUCUACAAACUAUGAAAGAGGAUGCACUCAGAAGUGGCAGCAGGGUGCAAACACGAGUCAACAUACAAAGGAUAAAGGCGAUAGAAAAAGAAGACGUGCAUAGGGUAACAGUGAAAAUAAAAAAAAGGCAAGUCACACAAUCACUUAGUUUAUAGAGUAAAUUAUAUAUCUCCCUCAAUCUUAAACAUAUUAAGUCCACAGAAAUAUUUAAAGCCUGCUUAUGAGUGACGCUGGAGACAUCUCGUACAUAAUAUAUAUACAUUACAAUCGUAUACAUUUAAACCGAAUCCUAAACACAUUAGCAAAUGUCAAAACGUUCCAAGACGCAGUCUAAGACCACAAAAGAGGACGCAUUCAGAAUUACUAUCAAAGUGCAAACGCAACAUCCAAAGAACGAAGGCGAAGAGAAGUAAACAUACACAGAAUAACAUUGUAAAUAAAAAAAA